AGUGAACGCUGGCGGUAGGCCUAACACAUGCAAGUCGAACGGCAGCACAGUAAGAGCUUGCUCUUACGGGUGGCGAGUGGCGGACGGGUGAGGAAUACAUCGGAAUCUACUUUUUCGUGGGGGAUAACGUAGGGAAACUUACGCUAAUACCGCAUACGACCUACGGGUGAAAGCAGGGGAUCUUCGGACCUUGCGCGAUUGAAUGAGCCGAUGUCGGAUUAGCUAGUUGGCGGGGUAAAGGCCCACCAAGGCGACGAUCCGUAGCUGGUCUGAGAGGAUGAUCAGCCACACUGGAACUGAGACACGGUCCAGACUCCUACCGGAGGCAGCAGUGGGGAAUAUUGGACAAAGGGCGCAAGCCUGAUCCAGCCAUACCGCGUGGGUGAAGAAGGCCUUCGGGUUGUAAAGCCCUUUUGUUGGGAAAGAAAAGCAGCAGGUUAAUACCCCGCUGUUCUGACGGUACCCAAAGAAUAAGCACCGGCUAACUUCGUG
rnacentral:rRNA from 1 species